CAGAAAGGAUGGCCGUCACUAAGGGUUAGAGCUCCACAGAAAUGACCACACAAAUGACUACACAUAUUCUGCACCAUGGCACAGUUCUGCAGCUGCACCGGGGAAUGGCUCCUACUAAGGUGAUUAUUGCUUUCAGCUUUGGCUGCAGUCAACGCUGUGACUUUCUGAGGUGCAGGAAACACUGCAAAGUCCCCAGGAAAUUCUGCUCGUCAUUUCUGUGGCCUGGCUGCCUUUUCCCAGCUCCUCAAGCACUCUCAGUCUCAGCAUGAGCUGUAAGCAGCUUCCCAGCUCUUUGCUCAUAUGCCAGUACGUACCUUAAGAUUCAAAGAGAAGAUCUGUACGAACAUACUGCAGUACCAUUGUCAAAUUUAUGGAGUAUCUCUGACAGAAGAAAACAUCCUAAUGAGCUCAUGAGAAAACUGACAGCCCUAGGAAGAGACCUAUGUGGAGGCUGCAAUAAGAGACUGGAUUCCUUCAAAUAGGAAAAUCUGAAGUUUCUAAAAAAUUCCUUAAAAAACCCCAACGCUGGGCUGAUAAAUUUGCCAGAUGGAAAAAAAUACUGAGCAACUGCUAAGCAGCUUGUGCAGUUUUGAAAGUGUGACUGGAACCUGGAAGGAAUCAUAGGCAUUUUCUGACUGUUGUCUGCUUAUUCUUGGAGAUACCAAAGCUGAAGUUAGAAUGAUCAUCUAAGUACAAGAGAAAACACCAAAUGUAUCUAGGAUAAUUCAGUGAAACAUCCUGGACAACCCCUGGUGUUACUGAGGACAGAAAGAAGUCGUUACCAAUAUCAGAGGCUCCAACAGGCUUCACUUCAGUGGCUGAAGAGCAGGAUGAACAAGGGGGAAUGUUCUGAGGACAGCCUUGUUAAGAGAUGGACCUCCGGACUGGCAGAUUCCAAAGGCCUUUGUCAGGGCCAAAUACUCCAUCAUCAUCAGUUUGUCACCUUUUCAAGGAGAAAAAAUUGAAACUCAAAUAUUCAAGGCUUUCUGUAACAGCAUGAACUCUUUCAUGUAGGUUAAUCUCUUCCCAUGAAUGAACAAAUGAAACAUCAUCACCUAAAUUGUCUAAUGCAAGAGGGCCAUUUGGAAAGACCAGAUGAAAAUUUGUCACCAUUAUAUAAUGUAUCAUCAGAUCAUAUAUCUCUAAGUUUUGACAUAGCCUAAAGUUUGAAACUACACUAAUUAAACAGUUGCUUUCUACUCUCCAGAGUAGCAUUUACAUUUGAACUAACGUAUUAUUUAAUGAGUUUUAUAUAUUAUAUAAUAUCCACUUUCCAAACUUGGAGAGUGAAGGGGAAAAUAUCUUUCAAAUUUUCAUAAAGCCUUGAUAAAAAUAAUAUUUUAGUACUUACCAAAGGAAACUUAUGUUUUUAUUGAUUAUAACAAAACUGUUUCAAUAUAUUUAAAAGUCAUUUUAAUUUGUCAAAGGAUCCUUUUGUCACUGUAACCAAAACACAUACUUUUGUAUGCAAAUAAAUCUGAGCUCUGUAAUUUUAAGGGGUAGCAUAUCCAUUAUUGUACAAGAUACAAACGAAAGUACUUGUACAACUAUAAAUAUUUAAAUUUAAAAGAUGGGACUGAAGCUCUAGAAGACUGAGGGUACCAUAUAAUAUGAAAUACUGUCAAUGUAACGGUUGCAAUUUGGUUCUGACAGCAAUGUUAAAGGAAGCCAGUGUGGCAGGUUUUCUGGUGAAGAAGACUGAGAAGAAGGCAAGAAAUGACUCCUACCUGUUUCUGCCCUAUACUUCUUACUCAGACAGCAUUCUGUUUUAUCUAGGAACAGUGUCUGGACCCAAAGACUGUUUGCAGGAGAGAAAUUAGUAGUAUUUCUAUUUUGGUUUUCUGCUCACAAUCCUAUGGAAAAACAAAACCCAAGAAUAACCAACUGCAGCUAUUAUCUUUGUUGUAUGCAUAAAUUAUCUUUGCAAAAAUGUAAGGGU